UAUGCUCUAGGAUGACCCUAUUUGAGUGGGAACUUGGACCAGAUCACAGAAUCAGCUUAUUUGGAAGGGACCCACAAAGAUCAAGUCCAGCCCUGCACAGCACCAUCCCCAAGAAUGCCCAAAUGUCCCAACACUUCUUGAAUUCCAACAGGCUGGUGCUGUGACCACUUCCUGGGGAGCCUGUUCCAGUGUCCAGUCACCCUCUAAGUGAAGAGCCUUUCCCUGGUAUCCACCCUAAGCCUCUCCUGACACAACUUCAGGCCAUUCCCUCAGGUCUUGCUCACCACAGAAAACAGAUCAGGGUCUCCUCCUCCUCUUCCCCUUAUUGAGGAAGUCAUAGACUUCAAUGAGGUUUCACCUCAGUCUGCUGUUUUCCAGGCUGAACAGAGGGCCCACUGUGGUUCCUAUCAACCUGACCCAGUCUGUGAUUCAGUGAUUCCUAACCUAUCUUAGCUUACAUAAUUUUGUCCCUUUAUGUUUGUUUGUGAUACUUUAAAUAUAUUACCAAAGCCAUAAUUAGACAGUGUUCAGAUUCUAUUCUUUAUGAUACAUUAAAAAAAAAAUAAAUCUGUUCCUUUAAUAGUAUUUUAGCUUUAACUCAUGAUUUUAAAAUUUACUUUGGUAGUACAUGUAAUUGGAAAACUUUUCACCUCUCUUCAUGUUUUUUUUUUCUUUCAGGCCAUUGCAAACCAAGAAACAUUUCUGUUAUGUGCAGGUGUAAAGUUCCAUCAUGGCUAAUAUCUCCAGGUCUUCGGCAACAAGCAAACAUGUAAUCCCACACUCCCUUCUCAUAUCAAGCUAAACACUCCUUUUUAUUGAACCUUUCACAAAAUCUUCUCAGGCUGCAGAGGAAUUCUGUUAUCUGCAUUGCUAAGAUGAGCCUUUGCAUCUGCCUUUAUAAAGCUUAUAGAUAGCACCACUUUGGAGUUCUCUUCAAUGGUUUUUGAACCUUUUACUUGGAAGGUUCACAUUCCAUUUGACAUUCUGAAAGAGAAAAGGCAGCCUGGGCAGGGCCUGGAGGAGCUGAAUGUCACAUGGAAAAGUCUGCCUCGCUGAAGACUGAGGGGCUGCUUUGCUUGUCCAGCCUGAGGACAUUGUCUGUAGUGGUAAUAUGAGCCUGAAGGGUGUUCUAGCUAUAUGAAGUGUUUUCAUGGACUACUUGAAUACAAUUUAAUCCAUUUACAAGAGCAAUAAUCAUAGUUAAUUUUAUGGUUUAAGACGUUUUGAAGCAAAGAAUUUCUUCCUUUUUUUCCACCUGUGUAUCUUUCUCCAGUCUUGUGCUAUGUGUGGCAAAUUAGUAUCUGACCUGCUGAAUGCCUAUGUUUGACAGUGUCCAAGGCAAUUAAAGCUAACCUUACUGUGUCCUCCCUCUAAGCAUCUAAGUAAUGCUAACCACUGUACCACACAGUUUGGGAGGGAAAAAAAAGACUAGUUACCUGCCUUAGCAGUCUAAAUUUUCAUAUCAUUCCAGUAAAUGAAAAUUGUUGUUCUGUCAAACCAGAUAUAUGGUCUCACAACAAACAUUAUUAGACUUCUGAGUUUCUGAACAUUCUUUUUUCACAAUAUUGCAGUGCUUUUUCUGCUUUCAGACAUUUUAAUAUUAUUUUCCAAAUGCAAAUGCUAAUCAAAUCCUUUUCUCCAAGAGAAAAUUUUAGAUUCUAAUUUCAUGCCAACUAAAUGUGAUUUUAUGCCUCACAAUAAAUUUAGAUGAUGCUCUUGAGAGAAAUAAAUAAAGCACCUGGAUGCAAAAGUAUUGUCACAGAUUGACAGUUCCAGCUCCUUGGGAGAGAGUUUUGACUACUAAAGUAUCAAGUCCCUUAAAUAGGUGCCAUUGUGUAAUAUUUUAUCAACUGCAGAAAUUUGGGUCAAAAUGAACUAUUUUGAAGCAGAGGUGAUGUCUUUUAAAAUACUGGGUCUAAUUUGUCUCAAACAUUCUGCAGUGGUCAUUUUUUGUAGAAACUAGAUCUGUCCAUUACCUUCUAAUACCUGUCUCAAGCUAUUACUUGCUCUCAGCUUUGUAUUCCCUUUAGUGUGUCUUGUAUUUUAAUUUUCCCAAUUUCCUUCUGUCAUAUCUGAUGUCAAAAUUAAGGCCACAGUUAAGCCAGAAAUUCAAAACAUCAGUCUCUUAUUGUAAUUGGUUUCGUGUCAGCCAUCAGAUUCUUACAAGCGUGAACCAGGACAAGCUGUUUUAAGAUUUUGCAGCUGAAGAUUGUAUUUGAUGUAUUUUGGAUCAUUCCUUCUGCAUAUCUGAUUUCAUGCUUUUCAGAUUAACCCCUUCCUUCUGGGAAUGCUGAAAAUACUAGGGCCUGUUCCAGCUGAUUUUACAUCAAUGGGAUUCUUUUGGUAGCUUGAGGUAUACUAAAUGUUAAAUGGUGCUACAUUUACUUAAAAUCUACAUUACUCUCCUGACUUUAGUAGAAGCCAUACUGCUGAUCAAAUUACAGUGUAAACCAGAGAUUUUUGAUGUAUUUAUAAGCCUCUGAAAACAAUCCAAUCUGUAUUUUCUCUAUGGCCAUCACAUUCUCAUGCAAUACAUUCUCUUAAUAUAGGUUUCCAGUAGCUCACAUUUUUACCAGAAAGGAUACUUGCUUUGUGUCAGUCCAUGCUAAGAAUUUUUUUGCCGUGUACCAUCUAUGUAUUUUUCUCGACAGUUACAUCUGUCCUUUAAAAAGUCAUCUCACAUAUUAAAAGUCUGUUACAACCUAAGCUUUGAAGUAGCCCUGAGCUUGAGCAGAUUCCUGUGCAGAGUGGCAGCAUCUUUUCCUAUGGAUCCCUAAGAGUCUGAUCAUGAUUCUGGCAGCCAAAGGAAACAGAGUUUAUUUUUCAAGAUCCCUACUCACAAUUGCUCUUUUGAUUCCAUAUAGAAAAAUAAUUUACUAUAUAAAAGGUAAAAUUCUA